AGGCGGUGUGGCCUGUGAACAUGGCGCUGUUCCCCGCCUUUGCGGGUGUUAGUGAGGAGCCCGAAAGCGGGAGCCCCAGGAAAGAAUUAGACUGGCUGAGCAACCCAAGCUUUUGUGUUGAAACCAUAACAUCUCUGAGCCAACAAACUGAAGAGGUCACAGCCUUUGUUUCUGAAGAGUUGCUACUGACCAGGAGUCCUCUGAAUUCAGAGCCUUCAGAUGAAAGUGACACUAACAAAAAGCCCAAACAAACAAGCAGAAAAAAGAAGAAAGAGAAAAAGAAGAAAAGGAAGCAUCAGCACCACAAGAAAACCAAGAGAAAACGUGGGCAGUCAAGUAGCAGUGGAUCUGAGUCAUAUACUGAUUCUGAAAAAGACAUAUCUUCCAGAAGCAUCAGAAGCAGUAAAAAGGAAUCAGAGAAACCGAAUCAAGAAAAUAAUGCCACUGCUGAUAUUGGACGUCACUUUGUUUGGCUUGAGGACAUUCAGGCUCUGACGGGAGAAACCUUCAGAACAGAUAAGAAGCCGGAUCCUGCAAACUGGGAGUAUAAGUCUCUUUACCGAGGAGAUGUAGCAAGAUACAAGAGGAAAGGAGACUCCUGCCUUGGCAUUAACCCUAGGAAGCAGUGUAUAUCUUGGGAGGGGACUUCCACAGAAAAGAAGCGGUCACACAAGCAUGUCGAGCGCUACUUUACAAAGAAGAGCGUGGGAUUAAUGAACAUUGACGGAGUUGCCAUUAGCAGUAAAACUGAACCUCCCUCAUCAGAGUCGAUCUCAUUUAUCCCAGUGAAGGGUGCAGAGGAUGUGGUUUCCCCUGUUACAACCUGGUUGAACCCUCUGGGGAUUUAUGAUGAAGCCACCACGCAGUGGUUACAAGGCCGGGGUCCUUCAGAGCAAGAAUCCAAGCAGCCAGAUUCACAGCCCAACAGAGACAACGUGCUUCUCAAGGCCAAGGUGGAGGAGUUUAACAGGAGGGUUUGGGAGAAUCCUCGGGACAUUCAGCUGUGGAUGGCAUUUGUUGCUUUUCAGGACGAGGUCAUGAGGAGUCCGGGCCUGUAUGCCAUCGAGGAAGGACAGCAGGAAAAGCGGAAGCGGUCCCUGAAGCUGGUUCUGGAGAAGAAGCUGGCCAUUCUGGAACGGGCCGUGGAAAGCAACCCGAGCAGCGUGGAUCUGAAACUUGCCAAGCUGCAGCUCUGCACCGAGUUCUGGGAGCCCUCCACUCUGGUCAAAGAGUGGCAGAAACUGAUAUUUUUACAUCCCAACAAUACAGCCCUUUGGCAGAAAUACCUUUUAUUUUGCCAGAGCCAGUUUAGCACCUUUUCCAUAUCAAAAAUUCAGAGUCUUUAUGGAAAAUGCUUGAGUACUUUGUCUGCUGUUAAGGACGGCAGCAUCUUGUCUCACCCUGAGCUGCCUGGCACUGAGGAGGCCAUGUUUGCCCUCUUUCUUCAGCAGUGCCACUUUCUGCGUCAGGCUGGUCACUCCGAGAAGGCUGUCUCUCUGUUCCAGGCCAUGGUUGACUUCACCUUCUUCAAACCCGACAGUGUGAAAGACCUGCCUACCAAAGGACAGGUAGAAUUCUUUGAGCCCUUUUGGGACAGUGGAGAGCCCAGGGCCGGGGAGAAGGGCGCCCGAGGCUGGAGAGCGUGGAUGCAGCAGCAGGAGCGGGGCGGCUGGGUGGUCGUCAGCCCAGAUGAUGACGAUGAUGAACCAGAAGACGACGACCAGGAAAUUAAAGAUAAGACUCUGCCCAGGUGGCAGAUCUGGCUUGCUGCUGAGCGGUCCCGAGACCACAGACACUGGAGGCCGUGGCGCCCUGAGAAGACCAAGAAGCAGGCGGAGGAAGACUGUGAGGACCCGGAGAGGCAGGUGUUGUUUGAUGAUAUUGGACAGUCUCUGAUCCAGCUUUCCAGCCCGGAUCUUCAGUUUCGGCUGAUUGCAGCCUUUCUGCAGUUCUUGGGUGUGCCUUCCGGCUUCAGCCCUCCGGCCUCCUGCCUCUAUCUGGCCAUGGAUGAGAACAGCAUCUUUGACAAUGGACUUUAUGAUGAAAAGCCCUUGACUUUUCUCAACCUUUCAUUUUCCGGCGUCAGCUGUGUCGGACGCACAGACCAGCUGGGUUGCCGGCACUGGACCAGGGGUCACAGUCGAGAGGGCGAGGAGUUCAUCCGCAGCAUCUUCCACCUCGUGAUGCCUUUGUUUUCAGGCAAGGAGAGGUCUCAGCUCUGCUUCUCCUGGUUACGGUACGAGAUUGCAAAGGUCGUUUGGUGUCUGCGCACUAAAAACAAGAAGAGAUUAAAAUCACAAGGAAAGAACUGCAAAAAACUAGCCAAGAAUCUCCUCAAGGAGCCAGACAACCGCAACAAUUUUUGCCUCUGGAAGCAGUAUGCGCAUCUGGAGUGGUUGCUCGGCAACACAGAGGAUGCCAGAAGAGUUUUCGAUACAGCACUCGGCAUGGCAGGGAGCAGAGAACUGAAGGACCAUGAGCUGUGUGAGCUCGGUCUCCUCUAUGCCGAGCUGGAGGUGGAGCUGUUGCCGGACGUGAGAGGGGCUGCCCCAGCCCGAGCCAUUCACGUAUUGACCAGACUGACCGAGAAUGGGGCCUACGGGCCCUACACUGGGCAAGUCUUGGCCGUUCACAUUUUGAAAGCUCGGAAGGCUUAUGAACACGCGCUGCAGGACUGUUUGGGGGAGAACUGUGUCUCUGAUCCAGCUCCCGCCGAUUCCUUUAGCCGCCUGAUUAGCCUGGUUAAAUGCUUCAUGCUCUUCCAGUAUUUGACCAUAGGGAUCGACGCUGCUGUGCGGAUAUAUGAGCAGGUAUUUGCGAAACACAAGGUCUCUGUUUCCGCAGAGGGCCCUGGUCUGGAGGGCAGUGCCAGCCCCCCGAGCCUGAGCAGUGUCCUUGAGGCCGUCACCCUGAUGCACACGAGCCUGCUUAGAUUCCACAUGAAAGUCGCCGUCUACCCUCUGGCUCCUCUGCGAGAGGCUCUCUCGGAGGCUUUAAAGUUGUAUCCGGGCAACCAGGUUCUUUGGAGGUCGUAUGUACAGAUUCAGAAUAAGUCCCACAGUGCCAGUAAGACCAGAAGAUUCUUCGAUGCGAUCACCAGGUCUGCCAAACCCUUGGAGCCGUGGUUGUUCGCAAUUGAAGCUGAGAAAAUGAGGAAAAGACUAGUGGAAACUGUGCAGAGGGUAGAUGGUAGAGAGGUCUACGCCACCAUUCCCGAGACCGGCCUGACACAUCGGAUCAGAGCCCUGUUUGAAAAUGCGAUGCGGAGUGACUACGGCAGCCAGUGCCCCUUACUGUGGAGGAUGUAUUUGAAUUUUUUGCAAAGGCGUUUUCCAGUGGCUGACUGAUGAAGGAGAUAGCAGAGGGCAGUUCUCAUUUGAGGCUAGCCAACUUACGUACCUGGAUUUGCUGGAUUCCAGGGUUAACUCUGCGGACGCCCGCCUGGGGAGCUGCCCGGUGGGUUGUGACUCCCUGGAGGAGGGGCAGAUCCCUCCCUGGGACUUGGGAGAGGCCCGGGGAUAUGGAGGGGAGGACACACGCUGCUCCAGCUUCCACAGCAGGUGUGGAAAAAGCGCCUGUCUGUGAGUUGAUACAAGAUAUAAGGAUUUUAUCAGUAUAAAAAUGUGCUUAGAUGAAAAACGUGCUGAAUAUCUGCAUGCUCUCAGACUGAAAUUUUUGACCGGAAAUUUGCUUUUGAUAAGGUUACUGAUUCAGUAAUCCUGGUCACCUCAUUUCUCUAAGAUAGUUCUCAAAAAAUGGCAAGUAUUAAAGCAAAUAUUUUCUCUGUGUAAAGUUAUCACCCUCACCUCGUGCACAGGCCUCGUUCUAGGCACUCUUAGUAAUGCCAGGUGUGAUGGCCCAGUGAUGGAGGAGAUGAAAACAAGUCAGAAGUGUUAAAGGUCAACUCCAGGCCCACUGAGACACAGCAGUGGCCCCUGAGGGCAUCCCGUGGUACAUGGACCCAUACCACCCAUCAGCCACUGUGGCAGUGCCCCGGGUGGAUCAGUACCGGGAUGGCCUUGGAUUCUCUUUUGUCAUUUUUGUAUUUUUUUCCC